GACGAACGCUGGCGGCGUGCCUAACACAUGCAAGUCGAACGGAAAGGCCCUGCUUUUGUGGGGUGCUCGAGUGGCGAACGGGUGAGUAACACGUGAGUAACCUGCCCUUGACUUUGGGAUAACUUCAGGAAACUGGGGCUAAUACCGGAUAGGAGCUCCUGCUGCAUGGUGGGGGUUGGAAAGUUUCGGCGGUUGGGGAUGGACUCGCGGCUUAUCAGCUUGUUGGUGGGGUAGUGGCUUACCAAGGCUUUGACGGGUAGCCGGCCUGAGAGGGUGACCGGCCACAUUGGGACUGAGAUACGGCCCAGACUCCUACGGGAGGCAGCAGUGGGGAAUAUUGCACAAUGGGCGGAAGCCUGAUGCAGCAACGCCGCGUGCGGGAUGACGGCCCUCGGGUUGUAAACCGCUUUCGCCUGUGACGAAGCGUGAGUGACGGUAAUGGGUAAAGAAGCACCGGCUAACUACGUG
rnacentral:rRNA from 1 species